CUUGACGUGGUGGAAGUCAUCAGUUCGAGCCUGAUUAUCCCUAAACCUAAUGUGAGUUUUUUCUAUUUUGAC
rnacentral:tRNA from 2 species